rnacentral:rRNA from 1 species
UACGAAGGGGGCUAGCGUUGUUCGGAAUUACUGGGCGUAAAGCGCACGUAGGCGGAUCGAUCAGUCAGGGGUGAAAUCCCAGAGCUCAACCCUGGAAUAGCCUUUGAUACUGGCUGUCUUGAGUGCGGGAGAGGUGUGUGGAACUCCGAGUGUAGAGGUGAAAUUCGUAGAUAUUCGGAAGAACACCAGUGGCGAAGGCGACACACUGGCCCGUAACUGACGCUGAGGCGCGAAAGCGUGGGGAGCAAACAGG